CAGCCACCGCGGUAAUACGAGGGGGGCAAGCGUUGUUCGGAAUUAUUGGGCGUAAAGGGUGCGUAGGCGGUUUGAUAAGUCUUGUGUGAAAUCUAUGGGCUCAACCCAUAGUCUGCACAGGAAACUGUCGGGCUUGAGAGUGGGAGAGGUGAGUGGAAUUUCCGGUGUAGAGGUGAAAUGCGUAGAUAUCGGAAGGAACACCUGUGGCGAAAGCGGCUCACUGGACCAUUUCUGACACUGAUGCACGAAAGCUAGGGGAGCAAACAGGAUUAGAGACCCCAGUAGUCCCUGUCUCUUAUAC
rnacentral:rRNA from 1 species